rnacentral:lncRNA from 1 species
UUUUUUUUCGUCCAAAAUGUCAAAACGACGUCGCUCUUUUUCCGGCAUCGAGAACCAUAUCCAGAUCAAAAGAUCUCGAUUUUUUUAACAGUAGAAAAGGUAGUGAAACAAUAGAAAAUCAAGUCUGUGGAACCAAACAAGAUCUCGAUUUUUUUAACAGUAGAAACCAAGUCCGUGGAACCAAACAACAAACCACAUAUCGCUAAAAGACCAGUGAAAAGGUAGCGAUAAAACCCAAACCUGUUAACGGCGAACAAUUUUCUCCUUUUAGUAGUAAAUCUGAAAUCUGUUUUACUGGGACAGAUCUUGCAUGUUUGGUGGUUGUUCUAUUUCUUUCCUUUCCCUUCUUCCUUCUUCUUGGAUCUGAUUUAUUUUGUUCUAUUGUUGUGUUGUUAUUUUGGUUAUAGAAAGUGGUUUGUUGUUGUUGAAGAUGGAGGUUGAUUUGGGUUAAUAGAGGUUAGAGGUGGUGAUGGUGAUGAAUUUUCUAUGCCCUUUGUUUUUUAUUCUGUUUAUUCUUAUCUUGUUUGUUCUUUUUGGGUUGAAGAACAAAUUUGUUUUAUUUUUUAAUUUUAUUCUGUUUUAAAAUUUGAACCAUAGGAUUGAUCUAACCAUCCAGAUUUGGAGAAUGAUAAAGAAGGAGAGAGUUGGAGAAUGAGAGGAUCCACUUUCCUUUUAGUCAACUAAAUUGACUUUGAUUUUAAUCAACUAAAUUGACUUUGAUUUCAAAUUUUUUAAGUGUUAUUGUUUUUUUUUAAAGAUAUGUUAUCUGAUUUAAUAACUAUAUAGUUUUAUUAUAGAGACCGGUUCAUUCCAUCGGUUUAAUCCG